rnacentral:rRNA from 1 species
GACGAACGCUGGCGGCGUGCUUAACACAUGCAAGUCGAACGAUGAACCCGGAGCUUGCUCCAGUUGAUUAGUGGCGAACGGGUGAGUAACACGUGAGCAAUCUGCCCUUGACUCUGGGAUAACUGCGGGAAACUGUAGCUAAUACCGGAUACUUUCACCGGAAGGCAUCUUCUGGUGAUGAAAGAAUUUCGGUCAGGGAUGAGCUCGCGGCCUAUCAGCUUGUUGGUGAGGUAACGGCUCACCAAGGCGACGACGGGUAGCCGGCCUGAGAGGGUGACCGGCCACACUGGGACUGAGACACGGCCCAGACUCCUACGGGAGGCAGCAGUGGGGAAUAUUGCACAAUGGGCGCAAGCCUGAUGCAGCAACGCCGCGUGAGGGAUGAAGGCCUUCGGGUUGUAAACCUCUUUUAGCAGGGAAGAAGCGAAAGUGACGGUACCUGCAGAAAAAGCACCGGCUAACUACGUGCCAGCAGCCGCGGUAA